AUGCCAUUGUAUUAUUUCGAGUCAGAUUUCAUCGUCUGUUGCUUUACUGAAAAAGGUUUCCCCCGCUUUGUAUUCCUAAGCAACCAACACCGAUACACAGACAAUGCUGGGGCGAGCAGCACAACAAGCCCAAAAGAAAAAAGGAAGAGAAAACAAAUGCCAACAAUGGCAGCUCGACAAAGCGAGGAUGACCCGGCACCGCAACGCCCUCCGGAAUCGACCCACCACGAUACAAGGCUCCGAUCAGCCGCGUACCAAACAACACCUCCGAUAAGGAAUGCGACACCGACGAAGCUGCUGCCCGGAUGA
rnacentral:rRNA from 1 species